GGAGGAGUAGUUCUGAGUACUCUCUCUGUAAUCGCUUUGUAACUCUACUCUCUCUCUCUCUCUUGAAUAUCUGGUGGUGUAUCUAGCCAACCAGAUCACAUUUCUAUAAAAGGAAAGAGUGUUUGUGUAUCUAAAAUAGUAAAGGUAGGUGUGCUACAUGUGUGAUUGUAACUGGGACUUGUUACCCGACUACUGUCCGGACGAGUGGAAGUUGUUUUCCAGUUUCUGCAAGUGUCAUAUGUAAGUUAUUUAUUUUUCUUCUCUCAUGCAGUUCAAAAUAGUUAUCUAAAUAAAAUUCUGGCAAGCUAUUUAUGUGUAUUGGAUUAUCAUUAAUAUAUCGACUCUUUUGUGUGUUCUCUGCUUAGUAGCUUUUAUAUUUGCAAGAUUGUCAUCUUUUCUUUAAAACAUCCUUUUCAUAUAUGUUUCCUCUGUUUGUUGUUGUAUUUCGCUUUUGUGAGCCUUCUGGUAUCAGAGCUAUUGACUUACAGUGGUAAACUGUAGAAAAAGACUGCUCUAAUGAAUAGAAACUAAGAAAAAUUUUCUCAAAAGAUAAUUAAAUUGACACCAAAAGUCGUCGUGACCCGAACUACUAUUGGGCCAAGAAGAGCCAAGAAAGGUACAGUGACUGUUUCCGACUGACUCAGUGAUCAAAAAUUAUCAAUGGCAAAUUUCUUUAGGACUCUAUCCAAUAAAAUUGCUUCUUCUUCUAACAAUACACUGCGUGUAAGAAAUAGAGAAAAAAUAACCAUAGAUAAUAUAGAAAAACAAUUCAGAAUUGGAAUAUUCCUAAAGUUCCAGCAUCAGUUGUUUACAGAAAAGGAACUUUUGAAUUUAAAACAAGUUUUUCUAUUAAAACUGUAGAACAAAGUAUUUCUAUCACCAAUGAGCAGAAUAGUUUCCAACUUCUUUCAAAUCGGAUGGUACAAGACCACAAAAAUAAGAGUUACAAAUAUCUGCAUAUAGGACUUGUUCAAAUUGCUAUAAAACCACUUACUCGAAUUGGUUUAAAUAACUCGGUCCUUCUUUGUCUAAGGGACGAGAAAUAUAAUAAAUUUUCUGACUCUCUACUAGGAAUAGUAGAAUCAAGCCUUUGUAAUGGUCCUAUAUACUUCAAUUGUUUCCCCAAUUUUUCUGUAGCAUUAACAGAUCCUAACCUCUUGAAAGUUCUUACCCUAAAUAUAAAAACCCAACGGUUCGAUAUGGAUAUAGGAUCCCAAAAUAUUGCUCUAGUUUAUAGAAUAUGCUAUAAAGUGAUGAACACUUUAUGCCCAAAUGCACUUCAGAUGGAUACUAAAGGGCAAACGGUAUUUUUCCAAACUAAUAUGGAAAAAUCUAAUACUGUUAUACCUAGAUCUAUGGCCUGGUCUCAUAUUAGGCUUCCUGAAAAAUGGUCUCUACACUGUGAAAACCAACAAGCUAGAACCCCAGUAAAUAGAGAACCGGAACAAAUAAUAGAGUACCCAAAUGGGGAUGUAGAAAUACAAUUCAAUUCGAACAGACGAACUCGAAUAAAUAUUUUUGAAGGCCCUUCUAGAAUUCCGUCAAGAUGCUCUACUUCCUCUGUUCCGCAGUCAGAACAUGAGCAAACUCAUAGGAGACCAAUAGUCGAAGGACUGACUAGAACAAAUAGUCAACUGCAACAACCAGUAUAUAGAAUAUAUGAACCUAGUUCCCCAAAUAAAGAACCAACACCUUCUGACUUAGAUUUUAAUAUCAUUACCCUUCAAAAGGAAGAAAAGUUUUAAAAAGAUAAAGAAGGGAUCAAACAGGACUUUUUGUCAGAUGAAAAUAAGAAGAUCAGAGACUGGUAGGAAUUUCCCCAAGAAUUAUUGGAUGCUUUGCAUAAAAAAAUUCAAUAAAAUUAUAUUAAAACAUAACGAGAAUAUAAAAUUCUUCAACUGGCUAAGAUACACCCUAAAGGACAAAGAGAUCGAAAUUCCAGAAUUUGAUCUCAAUACUAUUGAGAGUCAGUAUCAAACCUUUUAUACUACACAAGGGGAAGAACUGGACUCCAUUCAUCUCCCUGAAAGAAGCCUUCAAAUGAAAGGAAAAUCAGAAGAUAAACCUGAGGCUAAGGCUUCACCUUAUAAAAUUACCCCAAAAGACAAUGAUCACCAUACUCAUAAAAUAGACGCAAUUCCACAUAUAAUUGAGCAAAAUAAUUACACUAAUCUCUGUCUACAAACCAUUGAAAGGCAAACAACUAGGAUUGAAAAUAUAAUUAAUAAACCCCAGAAAAAGGUGGUAGAUCAUAAAUCUGAGGGGAAGAAAAGCUUUAUUAUUCAAACCCCCUCCAAUAAUCAAUAGAGAACAGUUCAGCCUUCAAGGGAUAAAAAAGAAAGAUGAUAAUAAAGAAUUGGUGGAUGAGCUAAUUAAAAAAUUAACAAAGUUAAAUAUAAAAGAAAAGGGGGUAAUUUUCAAGACUAAUCCUGAUCAAGGAGCUAUGGUUCUUCAAGAAGAAUCUUUUUCCAAUAGCGAACGUAAUGAAAUAGAACAUGCUUUCAAGACAUAAAGCCUUGAAAUAAAUAGAAUAGAUUAUGGAAAAAGUUUAGGCGUACUUCUCAAACAAGAAUGUAUUAUCCUAGACCUACCCCUGUAGAUCUCCAGUUUGAAGAAGAUCUAAUUACCAGCUCUAUAUCUUAUUCUGAGAGAUCCAUUGUAAAUUGGACUAUUGAUGGGAUGUCAGAAAAUCAGGUUCUUGAUCUAAUGAAACAUAUGACUAUGUACGCAACUGCGUACAAAAUAAGUGGUAACCAAGACCAAGAAAUAGUUAAAGCCAUCAUUUAUGGAUUUACAGGAUGGUUAAGGGGAUGGUGGGAUUUUCAUAUGGAAGAAAAUACAAAAAAUGAAAUAUUAACUGCUACAAAGCAGUGGCCGGUCAAGAAUGAAUUUGGCCAAUAUAUAAUAAAUAAUGAAAGUGAUGCAGUUAAUACUUUAAUAUAUAUUAUUACUCUCCACUUUGUGGGAAGUACUGCACUGCUCGAUUCUAGAUCAGAAGACCUACUUUCCAAUCUCAGAUGCCCAACACUAUCCCAUUAUAAAUGGUACGAAGAUGUGUUUUUCUCCAGACUCCUUUCUAGAGAAGAUAGUAAAUCUGAUCACUGGAAAGAAAAUUCAUUUCUGGUUACCCCAUCUUUUUCCCGAGAAGGUCAAGACACGAUUGAAAAAUAAACAUGGAGGAUUAAUCUCAUAUUCUCUAUAUACAUUGAGAGAACUAUCAGCCGAAAUUUGUGCAGAAGGCAUUGCUCUCUGUACAGAUCUAAAGCUGAAAAAACAGCUAGAAAAAAAGAGAAUGACUGAAAGAAAAGAGUUAGGAGAGUUUUGUGAACAGUUUGGAUUUCAUACUCUACCUUCUUCCAAAGAUUAUGAUAAGAAAAGAUAUAAAAAUAAGAAAUAUAGCAAUAAGUCAGGAUCCAAUAAAACUGCCAUCCAAGAUAAGUUUUUUAAAAAAAUUUCCCUUAGAAGUAAAUUUUAAAAGGGCCAAGAGAAAAAGGAGAAUACUUGUUUGCUAUAAUUUUGGUAAAGUAGGAUAUUAUAAGAAUAAGUGCAGAAUCAAGAAGAAAAUAGAUGCUUUACAAUUAGAUUAUAAUAUUAAAGAUCAACUAUUUAAUAUAUUACAAAUUGAUGAAGAAUCUUCUAAUAAUUCUUCUGAUUCUGAAUCAGAGAUACUAACUGGAGAAGUAGUAAACAAAGAUUUAAUCCUUAGCAGUUCAGACUCAGAUUAUAAUAAUCUUGAUAGCACUUGUUUCUGUAACACUCUUACCGAAGAAGAAAAUUUAAUUAUAGAUAUAAUUGAUAAAAUAACUGAUCCUGAGACUAAGCGGGAAGCCUUAGUCCAGUAUCUAAAUAUAGCCAAGAUGAAUCAAAAACCUUCUCCUCCUUUAGUUCGUACUCAAGAAUACUAUAGUUUUGCAAAAAUCCUUAGGAGAGUUGAGGAUAAAAAUAAUAAUCACAAGGAACCUUCUGUCUCUAAAUUAAGGCAGGAAAUUAACGAAGUUCGUAAUGAAUUAAUAAGCCUAAAAAAUAGAGUACAUAUUAUAGAGUUAGCCUCUAACCCUCUAGAAGAUAGUCCUAUUAAUACAGAUGAUGAAAUAGAGUUUAAUAAUAUUAUAAAUAAUUAUAAAAAACCUCUACCCCCUAAGGCAAAAGAAUUUCUCUCUAAAAUAGUUAAGGAUAAACCAGAGUCUUCUAAUACAACACAAGAUUGUAAUUAUGUUAGUCUUCUUGACAAAGUAAUUACUCAAAAAUGGUUCACUAUGAUAAAAAUAAUCAUCCAAAAAGAAUAUAGUUUUCAAACUCUUGCUCUAAUAGACUCAGGAGCAGAUUUGAAUUGCAUAAAUGAAGGCUUGGUCCCUACUAAAUAUUUUAGUAAAACCACACAAAUCUUAAGUACGGCAGAUGGCAGUAAAAUGAUUAUAAACUACAAACUUUCAAAUGUUGUAGUUUGCAAUAAUGACAACUGCUUUGAGUUCCCCUUUAUUAUGGUAAAAAGAUUAAGCCAAUCUGUAAUUUUGGGAACUCCAUUCCUAAAUAUGUUUUACCCAAUAAAAAUUGAUAAUACCGGAAUAGAAGCUAAUAUAAAAGGACAUGACGUGAAAUUUGAGUUUUUUGAAAAACCCAAGACUCGAGAAAUUAAUAAUAUAAAAGAGAAAAUCUCUAAUAAAGAAAAGUGUUUAUAUUACCUUAAAGAAGAAAUAAGAUACAAAACAAUAGAAACUAAGCUUCUACUUCCCGAAAAUAAAAGGGUAAUGGAAACCUUCAGAAAAAAUAUUGAAACAGAAAUAUGUGUUGAACUCCCAAAUGCUUUUUGGAGUAGACAAAAACAUAUUGUUCAUCUACCUUAUGAAGCUAAUUUUCGUGAAGGGAAAAUUCCUACCAAAGCUAGAUCAAUCCAGAUGAAUCCCAAGCUCUUGAAAAUUUGUAAAAAAGAAAUUACUGAUUUACUUCAGAAAAGGCUUAUUAGAAAACGCUUCUCUCCUUGGAGUUGUUCAGCAUUCUAUGCAAAAAAAGGGUCUGAAAUAGAAAGAGGGGCUCCACGAUUGGUUAUAAAUUAUAAACCACUCAAUAAAGCUUUACGAUGGAUAAGGUAUCAUAUUCCCAAUAAAAAAGAUAUGUUAGAUAGACUUGUUAAUGCUUGUAUUUUUUCUAAAUUUGAUCUAAAGUCUGGUUAUUGGCAGAUCCAAAUUGCCGAAGAAGAUCGGUAUAAAACUGCUUUUAAUGUGCCUUUUGGACAAUAUGAAUGGAAUGUUAUGCCUUUUGGACUAAAGAAUGACCCUUCAGAAUUCCAAAAUAUAAUGAAUGAUAUCUUCAAUCCUUACACUAAAUUUAUGAUUCUUUAUAUUGAUGAUGUCCUAGUAUUCUCUGAAAAUCUAGAAACACAUUUUAAACAUCUAAACAUUUUUGUCAAAGCAAUCAAAGUGGUUGGGUUAGUAGUUUCUGCCAAAAAAAUUAGUCUUUGUCAAACAAAAAUAAGAUUUCUAGGGCACAAUAUUUUUCAAGGCAGAAUAAUUUAUAUUGAUAGAGCCAUUGAUUUUGCCAAUAAAUUCCCGGAUGUGAUUAAAGACAAAACUGAGCUUCAGAGAUUUCUAGGUUGUCUCAAUUAUAUUGCUGAUUUUUAUACAGAUUUAGCUAUUGAUGCUAAACCGUUAUUUCAAAGAUUAAAAAAGAAUCCUUCUGAAUGGACAGAUGUCCAUACUUCAGCAGUAAGAAAAAUAAAAAUAAAGGCUAAAGAGUUACCCUGCCUUACACUCUCCGACCCUACUGCUUUUAAAAUUAUUGAAUGUGAUGCUUCAGAAAAGGAGUUGGGAGGAAUAUUAAAACAAAAAAAUUUUAAUACUGAACAACUGGUUCGUUUUACUUCCCGAGCCUGGAAUCCGACCCAGCAAAACUACUCCACCAUUAAAAAGGAACUUCUGGGCAUUGUUCACUGUGUCGCAAAAUUUCAAAGUGACUUACUCUAACCAAAAAUUCUUAAUCUGCACUAAUUGUAAAGCUGUAAAAUACAUCCUUCAUAAAGAUGUAAAAAACCUUGUCUCAAAGCAUAUUUUUGCCCCCAGGCAAGGUAUUACUCUCUUCCUUUGAAUUUGAGGUUGAACGUAUCAAAGGCACCACUAAUUACCUUCCUGAUUUUUUAACACGAGAGUUUUUGCAGGGGGAACAAGAGGAGUUUAACAAAAAGGGGAAAAUGGAAAUAGUUCCUAUGCCAGGCAAAGCCUUGGCAAUAUCAUCAUCACCAAUAACCCCAAACCAAAUAAUUAAAAAACAAGCUCAGGAAAUAACUUUUUCUCCUGAACCAAUACCAAUAGCUAUAAAUGCAACGGGAGAAAAAAGUAGAUUCAUAGAAACCUUUUUUAUAACUAUUACUAUAAUAGAGGACACUCGUAAAACCAAGGACCCAUGUGAAAUAGCCGCUAUAUACUUGAAUAACCAUUUGCAUCCUAAUAAUGGAGAUAAAAGCCGAGAAUGGUAUGAAACCAUCCUUCUUGAAACAGGGUCGAUUACCUUAGUUCAUUUUUAUAAAAAGAAUACUAAUAUGAUAGCAUAUUCCAAAUUUCAAAUACAUAAAAUAAUUUCAUACAAAGAAUGGUGCAUGGACCCCUUGAAACCUAGAAAAUUACAAGCAGAAGGUUUCAACAUAAAAUAUUUUCAAUAUUUUGAAUAUAUUAAAGCAUGGCAUGAGGUCUUUGCUUUACAAAAUAAUACGAAUUCCCAUACGUGGUUUAUACAAAUAAAAAUACCAGUACUGAGAGAAUUCCUAAAUUAGUUCAAGAAUUGGUUCCAAUUAUGGGGAUCCGGAACAGAAAUACUCCCACCCAAUAUUCAAGCUUCUCAAAGGAAGUUCAUAGAUCAUAACAAUAAUAAUCCCAAAAUAGACCUCCAUAUGUAUUUUAUGGCUUUAUACCAAAUUCUAUGGAUCAUGAAGUAGUCCUAUAUCAGACGAUUACACCAAUAACUGGGAAUACAUCCCAGAACUAGGCAAGCAAAUAUAUAUAAAAUGGUGGGAUGUGUACGAAAAUGAAGCCCUGAACCCUGAAAAAAUAAAAAUCAAAAAAAUACCAUUUUCACCCCCGAAGCAAAAGUUAAUAUGGCAGAUUAUGUAAAUAAAUUUUGCCAGCAGAACCCUAAUGCCACUAAAGAAGAGCUCAAAAAGAAGCUGCUACAAAUAUUCGAUGAAGAAGAAGAAGCCAUGUCUACGUCUACUCAGAAUGAAGAAAGCUAUGCGCAAGAAAAUGAAGACAUGGAUUUCGGAAUAUCACUAUAAGAGAUAUCACAAUACACAGGAUGGAACGACUGCAACUCAGAAAGCACACGAGUCCUAAACUGCCGACAAAAUAGUAAAAAGCUACCAAAAUAGUUACUAAUGGCAUCUUUCACCCUUACCUUUUUCCUAUUCACCCCGACAGCAUCUUUUACUUUUUCCUAUUCACCCCGACAGCAUCUUUCACCUUUUCCUAUUCACCGACACCUUUAGGUCUCAUCCAGAAUCACCGACACCUUUAGGUCCCUUCCUACAUCACCGACACUUUAGGUCCCAUCCAACAUCACCGACACCUUUUUCAGCGGAAUUGAAAUAAAACUUUGGCGUCCGCAAACUAUAAAAGGGGACAGGAGGCCAUUCAGAUGGGGGGGGUCAUUCGAAGGAGUUGUUCCGAGUACUCUCUCUCUAUAAUCUCUCUAUAAUUUCUCUGUAAUGUCUCUGUAACUCUACUCUCUCUCCCUUGAAUAUCUGGUGGUAUAUCUAGUCAACCAGAUCUCAUUUCUAUAAAAGGAAAGAAUGUUUGUGUAUCUAAAAUAGUAAAGGUAGGUGUGCUACAUGUGUGAUUGUAACUGGGACUUGUUACCCGACUACUGUCCGGACGAGUGGAAGUUGUUUCCCAGUUUCUGCAAAUGUCAUAUGUAAGUUAUUUGUUUUUCUUCUCUCAUGCAGUUCAAAAUAGUUAUCUAUAUAAAAUUCUGGCAUGCUAUUUAUGUGUAUUGUAUAUUUGUGUGGUUUGUAUAAGGGAAAAGGUUUCUAUACUUCCCUACAACAUACAAGUUUUAUCUUUUCCCUCCCAUCCAGCUGUUCGAGUCACUCACCGUUUGAUCUUAGAUUUGAUGUCUUAAAUUAUUUUAUUUUUAGUUUUUUAAUACAAAUUGUAUGAUUAUGAAUUUUAGUACGUGCCAUCUUCUCAUUGGGGCGCACCUAUAAAAAAUAUUAAUGAUAAUUUUUUAUAAAAAGGUAAUGACCAAAAUACCCCUUUAAACUUUCAGGAGUAUUUUGGUCAUUUUGUUUUAUUGAAAAUAUUUUUUAUAUCUUUUAUUAGUGCAAAUUUAAUGGAAGAAUGGAUGUCCAAAAUUUUGGUGUCGAAAUAGUUUAAAGAAAAAAAUAAAAUAAAAUAAUGUAGAUACGUGAUAUUGUAAUUGAGGCAAUCUUAUCCCCCCAUUCAGAAUGAAUGAUUGGAUAAAGCGGAGGAUAGAACUUCUAUGCUGUAGGGGAAGCAUAGAAAGCUUAUCCUUGUAUAAGAGUGCAACUCUAAAUUUUAUUGGAAGAUGUCAUUUGGUGUGGGGAAUUUUUUAGAUGGCCUCAAAGUCUAUUUUCGAGGUCGAGAUGAUUGAUUUAAGAUUUUUCUACUGUUGAAAUCACCUUUCUUGAUUGAUUUUUUAGCAGUAUUUUAUUUAUUUUUAAUAACGGGUGAGGCUUGUGUAAGAUGCUGGAUUUAUACUAUGCAAGUAAGGCAUGCUUUAUUUUCUUGUAAUAUGUAAUUCUAAUGUCGAAACCUUAUGAUAACUUGAAAAUUCAUGUUUAAAUGUAUUUAUAAAAUUUAAAAUUUUAAAAGGGGAAAAUAUCAUCAUACCUCUCAUUUUUUGUUUUUGUAUCUCAAUACACCAAAAUAUGGACAAUACAUCUCCUAAUCCCCUAACUAAGUUUAUCCACCCUUAACUAUUUUUUAAAUCCUAACAACAAUAAAAAAUACAUGCUCAUUCUAAACCCUCUCUCUUUGCAUGAUAUAUUCCUCCUAAAUUUUCUCUCUCUAACUUUCACCCUCUUUGUCUCUCUAACCGGGGAUGAAUUCGUGCAAAGAUGAAAUACAUCAUUGAAGGAGCUUUAAUGAAGGAAAAGCUUUUUGGUCCGAACAAUAUUUUGGUACUCCCACAGCACAAAGGACUAAAUUUCCCUAAAUAAAACUCUUUCAAUUUAUCAGAAUUGUAAAUUAUAAAAUCAUUUAUUUUUGGUACACAUAACUCACAUUGACUGUUGGCCAUUGGAUGUUAAGUGCACCACAACAUUGGAAAAAGUUUAUUUUGAACUCUAUGCGCCCUUAAUGAUGCAUCUUCAACCACCCAAUUUUGCAUCCAACGGUGAAUAAUGAUUAUGAUCAUCUUAUAUCAAAAAUUAAUGAUCUCAUUGUAUACAUUUCGCAAUUUAUAUUGCCUUACUGAUCUGAUUAUAUAUCCAAUAAAACCAUUUACCUUUGAUACAAGAAGGUAACAAUUAGUAAUAACCAUUUGAAAUCUAAUAGCUUGAGUGCGCCACAGUUCAAAAAAAAUUAUUUUAAAGUUUGAACUUGGUCAAUAGAAUAAAUACGGCCAUCCAAUUUCAUAUCAAAUGGUCAACAUUAAUUGUGACCACCUCAUACUAAAAGUCAAUGGUCCCACUGUACACUUUUUCUUUAUUUAAUGCUCUUGAAUAGCUUCAAAUUUCCUGGAAUCCUUUCAGAAUCAUAGGCUAUUUCCAAUAACACAAGCUAAAUUUUCGUUAAUAGCAAUUCAUUUGAAAAAUCACUGAUCCGUGAGAAUGAUUGGCCUGAUUAAAUGAAUCCGAGUUGGCCCAUGUAAUUUACACAAGGAAUGACCUAGAUCCAUGUUUAAAUCUUUUUCUUUUUUUUUUAAUAUCUUAAAUUAUCAAAGCACCAAAAAGAUUUUUCCUUCAUUCUCUAUUUUUUUUUUUUUUUUAUUGAUUGUUUGUUCAGAUUCGCCGAAUCUAUAUCACCGAUCAGGAUCAAGGGAACAAGAAUCUCAAUGAUUUUCAUUAAUGGUGUCUCUUGUUCAGUUACCAGGUAAUUUCUCUCUCUGCAUUGGGAUAUCUUACUUGUUUUCACCCAAUCUCCUAGCAUUUGUUCUCCCACUUUCACUUCUUCAUGCUCAGAUCUGAAUACAAAUCUGAUUUCCUUAGGCCACCAUGUCUGAUUCCCAGAUGGCAUUUAAAACCAGACAUUGACUCCAAAGGCCUAACACAGGCCACUUAUCUGAAAUAGAGAUAAGAAUUGUUGUAUAAUAUUUCAAGCCUCUCAACUAAGUCAAAUAAUUUGUGAAGACAUUCAUCAGUGUAUGAAUUUAUACUCUCUUUAAAAGUAAUGCUAUGGAAAAAAAAUCAUCCUACGACAAAUAUGGUACAAAACCAAUUUUAAAUUAAAGGUUACUCGCACUUGAUGCAGGAGAAACUUACAACUUUGGUGGAAUCCCAAAACUUUCAACUUUCAACUUUCAACUUUCAACAUUUUCAGACAACCGUUUUCUCUUUGCUUUUCCCAUUUUAUGGGAGUUUGAAUCUUCUCUUGUAUCCUCUUGCAUGGAAUCAUGAUCUUUGGGCUUUCUCUCAUUAGACUUAUGUUUCUUGUGACUCCUGAAACACUGACAGGUAUCAGCAUGAGAUAAGAAGACAUUAGACUUC
rnacentral:lncRNA from 1 species